GUUUGAUCCUGGCUCAGAACGAACGCUGGCGGCACGCCUAACACAUGCAAGUCGAACGAGAAGGUACUUUCGGGUACUGGACAGUGGCGGACGGGUGAGUAACACGUGGGAACAUGCCUUUUGGUACGGAACAACGCCUGGAAACGGGUGCUAAUACCGUAUAAGCCCUUAGGGGGAAAGAUUUAUCGCCGAAAGAUUGGCCCGCGCUAGAUUAGUUAGUUGGUAA
rnacentral:rRNA from 1 species